AAUUUGAAAAGUUUCGCCGGUGCCGCAAGGCUUGUCGCUCUACGCUGGGUAUAACGACAACGGGAAGUGAGGUGUAAAUCCUCCACGGACCCGCCGCUGUAAGCGAGUUAAACCUCGGGCAAUGAUGCCACUGGUUAAUUUUUUUAAUCGGGAAGGCUGCCACAGGUUCCGGUUGUUAACGGAAACUCGUAAGUCAGAAGACCUGCCGUCGAAACAUCCACUUU
rnacentral:ncRNA from 1 species